rnacentral:rRNA from 1 species
CCCUUUGGGGUGUGACUGCGUACCUUUUGUAUAAUGGGUCAGCGACUUAUAUUCUGUAGCAAGGUUAACCGUAUAGGGGAGCCGGAGGGAAACCGAGUCUUAACCGGGCGUUAAGUUGCAGGGUAUAGACCCGAAACCCGGUGAUCUAGCCAUGGGCAGGUUGAAGGUUGGGUAACACUAACUGGAGGACCGAACCGACUAAUGUUGAAAAAUUAGCGGAUGACCUGUGGCUGGGGGUGAAAGGCCAAUCAAACCGGGAGAUAGCUGGUUCUCCCCGAAAGCUAUUUAGGUAGCGCCUCGUGAAUUCAUCUCCGGGGGUAGAGCACUGUUUCGGCUAGGGGGCCAUCCCGGCUUACCAACCCGAUGCAAACUGCGAAUACCGGAGAAUGUUAUCACGGGAGACACACGGCGGGUGCUAACGUCCGUCGUGAAGAGGGAAACAACCCAGACCGCCAGCUAAGGUCCCAAAGUCAUGGUUAAGUGGGAAACGAUGUGGGAAGGCCCAGACAGCCAGGAUGUUGGCUUAGAAGCAGCCAUCAUUUAAAGAAAGCGUAAUAGCUCACUGGUCGAGUCGGCCUGCGCGGAAGAUGUAACGGGGCUAAACCAUGCACCGAAGCUGCGGCAGCGACACUCAGGUGUUGUUGGGUAGGGGAGCGUUCUGUAAGCCUGCGAAGGUGGCCUGUGAGGGUUGCUGGAGGUAUCAGAAGUGCGAAUGCUGACAUAAGUAACGAUAAAGCGGGUGAAAAGCCCGCUCGCCGGAAGACCAAGGGUUCCUGUCCAACGUUAAUCGGGGCAGGGUGAGUCGACCCCUAAGGCGAGGCCGAAAGGCGUAGUCGAUGGGAAACGGGUUAAUAUUCCCGUACUUGGUGUUACUGCGAAGGGGGGACGGAGAAGGCUAUGUUGGCCGGGCGACGGUUGUCCCGGUUUAAGCGUGUAGGUGUGUGUUCCAGGUAAAUCCGGUUCACUUUAACACUGAGGCGUGACGACGAGGCACUACGGUGCUGAAGCAACAAAUGCCCUGCUUCCAGGAAAAGCCUCUAAGCAUCAGGUAACAUCAAAUCGUACCCCAAACCGACACAGGUGGUCAGGUAGAGAAUACCAAGGCGCUUGAGAGAACUCGGGUGAAGGAACUAGGCAAAAUGGUGCCGUAACU